AGAGUUUGAUUCUGGCUCAGGAUGAACGCUAGCGGCAGGCCUAACACAUGCAAGUCGAGGGGUAACAGGUAGAAAGCUUGCUUUUUAUGCUGACGACCGGCGCACGGGUGAGUAACGCGUAUGCAACCUACCUUUUACUGGAAGAUAGCCCCGAGAAAUCGGGAUUAAUACUCCAUAACAUUAUGAUAUCGCAUGAUAUUAUACUUAAAGCUUCGGCGGUAAAAGAUGGGCAUGCGUGACAUUAGUUUGUUGGUAAGGUAACGGCUUACCAAGACUUCGAUGUCUAGGGGUUCUGAGAGGAUUGUCCCCCACACUGGUACUGAGACACGGACCAGACUCCUACGGGAGGCAGCAGUGAGGAAUAUUGGUCAAUGGUCGAAAGACUGAACCAGCCAUGCCGCGUGCAGGAUGAAUGCGCUAUGCGUUGUAAACUGCUUUUCUACAGGAAGAAACCUACUUACGUGUAAGUAGCUGCCGGUACUGUAGGAAUAAGCACCGGUUAACUCCGUGCCAGCAGCCGCGGUAAUACGGAGGGUGCGAGCGUUAUCCGGAUUUAUUGGGUUUAAAGAGUGCGUAGGCGGAAUAUUAAGUCAGUGGUGAAAUCCUGCGGCUCAACCGUAGAACUGCCAUUGAUACUGAUAUUCUUGAAUGUAGUUGAGGUAGGCGGAAUGUGUAAUGUAGCGGUGAAAUGCUUAGAUAUUACACAGAACACCGGUUGCGAAGGCAGCUUACUAAACUAUGAUUGACGCUGAUGCACGAAAGCGUGGGGAGCGAACAGGAUUAGAUACCCUGGUAGUCCACGCUGUAAACGAUGAUCACUCGUUGUUUGCGAUAUAUUGUAAGCGACUGAGCGAA
rnacentral:rRNA from 1 species